rnacentral:rRNA from 1 species
CCUACGGGAGGCUGCAGUGAGGAAUAUUGGUCAAUGGGCGAGAGCCUGAACCAGCCAAGUCGCGUGAAGGAAGACGGUCCUAUGGAUUGUAAACCUCUUUUGCCGGGGAGCAAAAAGCGGUACGUGUACCGCAUCGAGAGUACCCGGAGAAAAAGCAUCGGCUAACUCCGUGCCAGCAGCCGCGGUAAUACGGAGGAUGCGAGCGUUAUCCGGAUUUAUUGGGUUUAAAGGGUGCGCAGGCGGCGGGUUAAGUCAGCGGUAAAAUUUCGGGGCUCAACCCCGACAAGCCGUUGAUACUGGCGUGCUAGAGUGGGCGAGAAGUAUGCGGAAUGCGUGGUGUAGCGGUGAAAUGCAUAGAUAUCACGCAGAACUCCGAUUGCGAAGGCAGCAUACCGGCGCCCAACUGACGCUCAGGCACGAAAGUGUGGGUAUCGAACAGGAUUAGAUACCCGUGUAGUC